rnacentral:rRNA from 1 species
AUUGAACGCUGGCGGCAGGCCUAACACAUGCCAGUCGAGCGGAUGAAGGGAGCUUGCUCCUGGAUUCAGCGGCGGACGGGUGAGUAAUGCCUAGGAAUCUGCCUGGUAGUGGGGGAUAACGUCCGGAAACGGGCGCUAAUACCGCAUACGUCCUGAGGGAGAAAGUGGGGGAUCUUCGGACCUCACGCUAUCAGAUGAGCCUAGGUCGGAUUAGCUAGUUGGUGGGGUAAAGGCCUACCAAGGCGACGAUCCGUAACUGGUCUGAGAGGAUGAUCAGUCACACUGGAACUGAGACACGGUCCAGACUCCUACGGGAGGCAGCAGUGGGGAAUAGUGGACAAUGGGCGAAAGCCUGAUCCAGCCAUGCCGCGUGUGUGAAGAAGGUCUUCGGAUUGUAAAGCACUUUAAGUUGGGAGGAAGGGCAGUAAGUUAAUACCUUGCUGUUUUGACGUUACCAACAGAAUAAGCACCGGCUAACUUC